UCAUAUGCACAUGCCUGCAAAAUCAAUGUAUCGGAUACCAUUAGAACUUUGUAGUUAAGCGCACUUGGGCUAGAGCAGUACUAGGAUGUGUGACCUAUCGGGAAGUCCUGGUGUUUUAAAUGCC
rnacentral:rRNA from 1 species